ensembl:lncRNA
CAGGGUGAUAAAUCCGCUGUUUCGCUCACUUCCUGUCCGUCACACGGCCUUCUCCGUGGGCCUCACAGUGGUGUUCGUGGGACUGUGGACACAUCAAGGUAGAAAUAAUAAAGUCAUUCAGCCUCUUCCGCUGAAUCCUGAAACUGUGACGCUGGUUUGGUUUGAUGAGUCAUCUCUGCCGGGAGCCGAGGACCAAUCAGGAGUCCUGAUUCUGUCAGAAACUGACAAACCCGCCCCCCCGAGGUUUCUUCCUGUCAGAUGGGGGUUCUUCCUUUCCACUGUUGACUGUUUGUUGGGGUUUCUCUGUAUGACUGGAGGCUCUUUACCUUACAGCGUCUCACGGUGACUGUUGUGAUUUGACGAAUGUUGUAAUGAUUUUAAUGGUGAACAGACCUCAUCACACUUGAUUCAGCCAGACCUGAAACUGCGACAGAAAGCCACCAUCAAACCGUUCGUUCCAUACAGCCAGACCAGAGGAGUCGCCCCGUGGGGGUCCGGCAUGCUUCAGCUGGAGCUGUGCUCGGCACCGUGCAGCUCCAUGCGUUGGGUCCUCGUCUCCACAGGUGGGGAUGUACCACAGGUGGCAGAGAGCAGUGGUCUGUGGACACCACCUGGGAACCCUGCUGCUGCACCUGUGCAGGUGAGAUGAGUGCUCUCUGCUUGGACAGACUGAGUGUGGGUUGUGCUGUGACUGUGUGAGGUGGUGACUGCUGCAGAGCAACAGGAAGUUAAAGAGAUUCACCAGGAUGGCUGAGGGAGGGGUGGAGGGAGGAGAAGAGGUGUCAGAUAAUGAGGAGUGACCGUGUUUGAGUGUGAGCGCAGAGAGCCCGCCGAGGGCGACACACAGCAACGCCGUCACCUCCAUCCUCCACCACCAUGCCAGAGCUCACGGUCCCGGAUUUAUCCGUGUGAUGUGAGGAGCCUCGGUAUAAGCAAACUAAGUGACGGUUGUGGAUCCUGCAGGUCAGCAAACCCACCCUGAACCACCAUGACCAGUGUCAACUCUCCAGCCUGCGUGCUCGCCCGAAACCACUUCUACCGAAGUGUGUUGGCGUGUUGGCGUGCAUGCGUCCUGGUCGUGCUCAGAAUAAAGAUAACUGCAAACAAACAUCUUCUGGAAAUUUUCUGCACCAGUUCAUCCUGUUAUACAACGACAAACCAGCAGCAACAACGGCUCUUCUGAUUGGCUGCCUCUCUCGAGCUGCAGGUGUGAUGAAGUGUUCAGAGCCACCUGAGCUCAUCAUCAGAAACUUUGUGUUUAACGUCAGGAAAUGAGCAAAGCAGAAGAAGAGCAGGUGUGCAUCAACAUUCACUCAGUCAUGUGUCACGGGUUAAAAAACAGUCGAGGGUAACGAGGGUAACGUUCGCCUGAGGCAGCAGGACGGACGCUUUGCUCCUCUGCAGCAGUGUGUUUGGAUCAGUGAGCAGAGAGAAAACAUCCACACUGAGCAUGCUCAGCCGCUUCGACGCCACAUGAGUCAGAGCGCGGGUCCACGUUGUUCGCCUGGGUCACGGGGUGACGAUGACAGCCGUGGGUCUACCGCCGAGUCCAGAACCCACCAAGCCCGCACGCGGCUGUCAGGACAAGCAGAGACUGCCCACGCUUUGGGUUACCGUGGAAACAGCUCCAGGACUGCCGGGUCUCGUGGGAACCAAAGGAUUAUGGGUCAGCAUCAUCCUCAGCGCUUCUUCCUCCUCCUCCACCUCCAAACCAAGCAACCACAGAGCCAAGUAGAUGAAACAAGCGCACCUCACCCUGCAGGUCGUUCCUGUGAACGUCCACUCUUAAUAACAGGGCGGCGAUCCCCUGGGGACAAGCUCCUCCCCCGACUUCACCGUAGAAGGAAACGAACCACAUGUCGUGUCCAAAUUCAUGGGCUGCAUCCUCUUGAGGACCCGGCCUUCGCGGUCUACAUGGGCCGGGUCCUCAGAAGAUCGGGUAGGCCGGAAGUACGAGGUUGGGGAAAUUGGACGGUCCAGCCUUCUGAUUAGCGUCACCACUGCCUCGGUGGAGUUUAAUAAACUCGGCCGUCUGCUCCUUGCUAUCUAAAAUAUAACAGGACACUGGAGGAAACUCUCGACCGUCUCACACGUCUGUUUAAUCAGUUUUCUGUUUGACGUUUAUUCAGCUGUGUGAAAACCACCCGGGGGAUUAAUAAAGUUUUAUUUUAUCUAAACUAAUAACUUUGAUCUCAGCCAAACCGAUUUACUCACGAACAAACAAAACACUGAAAAAAGCCCAACAACAACAUUUUAGGUUGUCUAAGUGAAUUAUAUAUCCCGUUUAACCUGAGUAGUGAAACUCCGCGGUGAUCUGAAAAUGAUGUGCCGGAGUUGUGCCGUUCUCGGCCGCAUCGGUGACCCUCGAGCUCCCGGCUAGCUGUCGAGCUGGUGGGUAAAAGAUGUCUCUGAAAACGUCGAAGCACUUUUGCAAAUAUGCGAUAUCUUGAUAAACUGAGCAGAUAUUUGAAGUUUACACAGCUGAAAAUAUGUUCAAAGUUUAUUUUGUGACCCAGAAAGAUUAAUAAGAGUAAUUUUAAAACUUAGUGGCGGCUGCCAUCGUUGGAAACUGGAGUUUGGCUGGGCCGCGCUAUGAAUUCUGGGAUAUCGUGGGCCACGAAAGACACACCCGACCCCAAAUUCGUGGAAAAGGAGGACGCAUUUGUCGGCUGCAUUCAGAGGAGUCUACGAAUUUGGACAGCCUUCAUCGUGUCGCUGUGACGUAAUCGGUCCACAAAUGCGGCCUCAGGAGGACGCAGCCCAUGAAUUUGGACACGUCCACUGAGUGACCCUCCAGAACCAGGAGCAGGGCAUGGCUAAAAGAUGGGCGUGGUCUGAAAAAUGGUUCCUCAAACCAAAGAGUGAACUCGUUCCUGAUUGGUUUAUGGUUUUGUCGCUGUUUACAGGUCUCAGUGAAUAAAAUGUGAAAUUGGUGAAGUGAUGGUGAUGUUAGAGCAGGGCGCCCGGAUGAAGAGCCCCACACGGCCACAGAAGCUCGUCUCACUUCCUGUUUUAGUUCCUGUGAUAUUUGAGGCCACAUGUGCAAACUGUGACGAGGGCUUUAAUCUACACGUUCUGACUGCAUGUGUGACGAUUAUCACACUAAUUCCACACGCGUGAAUCUGCAGGUAAUUUAUAAAUCCAGUGACAGGUGUCUACAGGUAUGCACAGACAGGUAGACAUUUCCCCGUCGCAUCGGGUUGACGCUGAUAUUUCAUCAGGUAUUCGGCCUCCGGUGUGAGCUUUACGUCUCAAUCUGCUUCAACAAUGAAAUCAAAUAAAGUGCAACAGCUGAGCGAGCUUUCACCAGGUGUGCCGCACCUCUGUGUUGUGGAAAUGACAGUCUUCACUAGUGGGGAUAGUUACAAAGCUUUCUUCAUUAUGAAUUAGCAUACAUGUUUUUAUUGAACAUUUGAAGAACCAGCAAAAAAAACCCCAGAAACUCUUGUAGAGGACAAAGUCCGAGAUAGAAACGACACGGAGCAGGUGCAUCUAGUGCAGGUAAAACCCCACAGAGCUCAGCAGCCAGCGCAGCAAAUUCUGGAUCCUUGUCUUUUAGUGACUCACACUGAGGCUACGUCCACACGUACCCGGGUAUUUUUGAAAACGCAGAUUUUUCUAUGCGUUUGCACCUCCCGUCCACACGUAAACGGCGUUUUCGGUGACUGAAAACGGAGAUUUCUAAAAACUCCGGCCAGGGUGGAUAUUUAGAAACUCAGUUUUUGUAUUUACGUGUGGACGAGAAAACACAGCGUCAAAGAUGUGCGCCUUUUUUGAGGUCACACUGUGCGCCACGUUAUUGUUUAGGUGAAAUGAAUUUCUACAAUACUGUUAAUUCUACUCUCUGCAGUGUUUAAAUGCUUACAUAUACACACAGUUACUGUCCCUCCACACAUACGACUCGGUUCUGCUUCUAUGCCCCAGCUUUGUUUACUUUUUCCCACCGAGGCUUCUAGACUUCUGAUUGGCCAACAUUUCUACACGGUUAGGAAUCUAGCGCCACCUGCUGCUUUGGCAUGUUCCUAGCAGCGUUUUCCUUCUUUUCUGCGUUUACAUGUGGACGGGAUUAUUUUUUAAAACGAAAACGGAAAAUCUCAGCUUUCAAAAACACCUGUGUACGUGUGGACGUAGCCUGUGACCAGAGGUGGGACCAAGUCAUUGUUUUGCAAGUCUCAAGUAAGUCUCAAGUAAGUCUCAAGUCUUUAUCCUCAAGUCUCAAGUCAAGUCUCAAGUAAUGUCAGGCAAGUCAGAGUCGAGUCUCAAGUCUGAAACUUUGAAUUUCAAGUCCUUUCGAGUCUUUAAAAAAAAACAAAACGAAAAAAGCAUGUUGCAGUUAUGCUAAAUGUAAAUAUUAGACCAUGUAAUUUUAAAAGCUGUGUUUUUCUCAACACAUGACAAAAUAGUGAACUUAGAAAAUAUACACAAAUUGUGAAAUUGCACCUCUUUAAAAUGCAGCUCAAUUAAACCUAGCUCCAAGAAUAAUUUUCACCGACAGUUCUGAGAUAAGCUGCAUGUUAUUCUUGGAUGCGCUUGUAGGACCGGCUUUAAAAUCGCAUGACAAAAAUAUCAUACACAUUAAAAAAACUGCAUCACCAACGUAGCCUGGACAACAUUUGCUAGUUAGAUGAAGUCAGCUAUCUCAUCGUAGCAUAUUUAUAUGCAUAUUUAUAAUUAUACGGUUCUUGGAGUGAGUGCAUACACUCAUGAAGUUUAGUAACUUCAGGUCACUGCAACAAGCCCAGGUACAGUUUACCGACGGAUGGGUGCAGGACCUUGAAAUGCACCGUGUCGAACGAAAGACCAUCGUACGUAUCAUAAGUUUACCAGUCUCACAAAUCGUCAUCAUAAAUACACAUUCAUUAACCGUUUAUUAAUAGGACCUUUGAGAUCAACGGUAAUUAAUUAGUAGUGGAAAUAAUUUCUGGUACCUGAAGGAAACGGUUUCCAGGGCCUAAUCCGUGGAUCGACUUCCUUCGAGGCGUGGACGUCUAUCAGCAGAGAAUGUCCCUUAGUCUGUAACACAGUCAAAUAUAUUCUCAAGUAAUAUUCAAGCAUGCCAUUCAGUGUGUUAGUACGAGCUCGGGAGCAGCUUGGGAGAACAAGAAAACAGAGACUGCUUUAGAUUGUCUUCCCAAAGUGACUCAACUUUAUUCACAAGUACAACAGUUUAUAUAGAGGGUAAAAUUCAUGAGACAGCAGAUUUAUCAGUUUAAACCAGUACAGACCAAGAUAAGGCAGUGUCUUCCUGCCCUUGGGUGAAGAAGCAUCCUUUGUGUAGUGUAUCAGUUCAGCUACAAUUGUGAUUAUCUCAGCGACAUAUUUUCAAGGCACAAAACGAAGAGUUCUUUCAUUAGUGAAAUCUGAAACAAACCAUUUGGCCUUCAACAGGCGUCUAAAAGAUUAAGAAACUAAUGUAGCUGAGGGAGUGAUCUCUGUGGUAUUUCAACCUUGUACCAGCCUGUGAUUCUCACACAUCAAUUCUUGGGUCAAAGAGAAAAAUAACUAAAACAAAGGGGCCUUAUUGAAUGACAGAGUUUUCCUGUAUAAUGUCACUAUAAAACAAUAUCCAGUAAAUGCUCCCAUGGUACUAAAAUACCUAACAGUACCCAUCACAGAAAUGUAGCAGUGACAAUAAUAUUGUAUGCUGUAAUCGUACUGGGCAAUUAGUGAUACAAAAAACCUGUUUUAUCCUGUGAAUAAAAGUAUAUGUGUUUGUCAAUGUACCAUAAUAACAGAAGCGAAACGCAAUAUUGUGUCAGGACAAUUCACUAUUUAUGCACAAUAAAUAAAGGAGCAUAGCGCGAC